CUGCGCCUUGCCAGCCCGCUCAGAAACUCAAAGGAAGUUGACGGGUCCCCGCACAAGCAGCGGAGCGUGUGGUUUAAUUCGAUGCUACACGAAGAACCUUACCUGGGUUUGACAUAUAGGUGUAGGGAACUGAAAAGGGACCGACCCUUCGGGGAGCCUAUACAGGUGUUGCAUGGCUGUCGUCAGCUCGUGUCGUGAGAUGUUCGGUUAAGUCCGCUAACGAGCGCAACCCUCGUCGUAUGUUAUAUGUGUCAUACGAGACUGCCGGUAAAAAGCCGGAGGAAGGUGAGGAUGAUGUCAAGUCAGCAUGACCUUUAUAUCCAGGGCUACACACACGCUACAAUGGUCUGUACAAUGGGUAGCCAAGCCGCGAGGCGGAGCCAAUCCUGAAAGCAGGCCUCAGUUCAGAUUGCAGUCUGCAACUCGACUGCAUGAAGCCGGAGUUGCUAGUAACCGCAGGUCAGCAAUACUGCGGUGAAUACGUUCCCGGGUCUU
rnacentral:rRNA from 1 species